UCCUUCAUCGUAUAUGAACAACUAUCCAUCCUGAACAGAUAAGGAUCUAGUGUAACAGUCUCCCCUAAUCUUGUGGGAGUGAUUAAGGGCUGAAUUAUCUCAUCAAAUAUGGCAAUCUCAAAUGGCCUGACAAUCUCGAGAUCAUGCGAUCUCACAGCUAACAAUCCAGCUAUCCGAUAUUCUUCUAUAUAAACAAUCAGAGUCCCGAGGAUCCAGGUGAGUCAAAUC
rnacentral:lncRNA from 1 species